GAUUAACGCUGGCGGCGUGCCUAACACAUGCAAGUCGAGCGGCAGCGAGUUUUACACUGAAUUCUGGAAGCUUCUAGUUGAAAGAGAAGAUUUAUUCAAGAAUUUUGUGUAAAAUGUCGGCGAGCGGCGGACGGCUGAGUAACGCGUGGGAACGUACCCCAAAGUGAGGGAUAACGCAUCGCAAGGUGUGCUAAUACCGCAUAUGGUCUUCGGAUUAAAGCCUUCGGGCGCCUUGGGAACGGCCUGCGUAAGAUUAGAUCGUUGGUGGGGUAAUGGCCUACCAAGUCGACGAUCUUUAACUGGUUUGAGAGGAUGAUCAGUCAGACUGGAACUGAGACACGGUCCAGACUCCUACGGGAGGCAGCAGUGAGGAAUCUUCCACAAUGGGCGAAAGCCUGAUGGAGCAACGCCGCGUGCAGGAUGAAGGCCUUCGGGUUGUAAACUGCUUUUAUAAGUGAGGAUUAUGACAGUAACUUAUGAAUAAGGAUCGGCUAACUACGUG
rnacentral:rRNA from 1 species